CCUCUCCCUCCAUCCUCUCGGUGACCUCCCACUCCUAUUCGUUCUCCCUCCCAGCCGACCCCACCGCGUCCCAGCCCCUUCGGCCCUCCGCCCCCUUCAGAGUCAGAGCUCUGACGCAGCGAGGCUUUUUGUCCCACGCGACGAGCCGUACGGAGGAGGCCCGGCUCUGAGCAGGCGCCAACGACAAGCGCUGUUUCUGAGCGACAGCCAGACCUGGAACUCGUCUGAGGUUGAAGAGGGGACUUUCAGGGCAAGGGGUGCGACUUCUCCUUGGGUUGAACAUAGAAGAAUUUAUUUGAGUGGAAGAUGGUUCUAAAUGAAAUGAAUGAUGACGGGUCUGAGCAAGAUGGCAACAAAUGCAUGGAGCCUGAUGUCAUUGCCAAGGAAAACAUACUAGAGAGUUUUACAGAAAAGCAAGAGACACAGGAGUUGAUUAAUAAUCUCAGAUUAGUGCAUGAAGAACUGCCAUUGCGAGAAACAGCUCUUCAAAAAUUUAAAGUUAUAAUGGACAAUUACCAGGAACAGCCUCACCUUUUGGAUUUCCAUUUAGAAUGGAUGUUGAAUUCACUGCUAGAUAUUAUCCGGGAUGAAACUUCUCCUCCUUCUUUAAUUCAUAUGACCUUUCAAUUUCUCUACAUCAUUUCAAAGGUACGGGGAUAUAAAACUUUCCUGCGAUUAUUUCCUCAUGAAGUAGUUGAUGUACAACCUGUUUUACUUAUGCUUGAACGUCAGAAUCCAAAAAACUAUGAGACAUGGGAGACUCGUUACAUGCUGUUAUUGUGGCUGUCUGUAACAUGCCUGAUCCCAUUUGAUUUGGCACGUCUGGAUGGAAAUAUAUCUUCCCUAGAAGGAUGCCCUCGAGUAUCAACAAUGGAUCGCAUCCUCACGGUAGCAAAAUCUUACCUUCUGGUAAGUGACAAAUCUCGAGAUGCAGCUGCAGUCCUGGUCUCAAAGUUUAUUACCCGCCCUGAUGUCAAACAAAAACGAAUGGCUGACUUCCUGGACUGGACGCUUUCAACCUUAUCUAAAUCCUCCUUUCAGUCUAUUGAGGGUACUAUUGCAAUGGAUGGCAUGCUUCAAGCUUUGGCAAAACUUUUUAAACAUGGCAAAAGAGAGGACGUUUUACCCUAUGCUUCUACUGUACUUGAAUGCCUUGACAACUGCAAGCUGUCUGAAACCAACCAAACGCUUCUUCGCAAGUUGGGAGUGAAACUCGUUCAGCGACUUGGCCUGGCAUUUCUUAAGCCAAAGGUGGCAAAAUGGAGGUAUCAGCGAGGUUUCCGAUCUUUAGCUGCAAAUCUGCAGCUUUCUGCUGAUGAUUCUGCUGCACAGAAAGCAGAAAAUGCAACUGUUGUUGCAGAAGAGGAGGAAGAGGAAUAUGACAUUCCAGGAGAGGUUGAAAAUGUUGUAGAGCAAUUGCUGAUUGGAUUGAAAGACAAGGACACCAUUGUCAGAUGGUCUGCUGCAAAGGGGAUUGGUAGACUGACAGGAAGACUACCAAAAGAGCUAGCUGAUGAUGUGGUCGGGUCUGUUUUAGACUGUUUCAGUUUCCAGGAAACUGAUAAUGCUUGGCAUGGUGGAUGUUUGGCCCUAGCUGAAUUAGGAAGAAGAGGGUUGUUACUUCCCUCCCGACUCUCAGAUGUUGUUCCUGUAAUUUUAAAAGGACUGACCUAUGAUGAGAAACGCGGAGCCUGCAGUGUUGGCUCUAAUGUACGGGAUUCUGCUUGCUAUGUAUGUUGGGCUUUUGCUCGUGCUUAUGACCCCUUAGAACUGAGGCCAUUUGUUAAUGAAAUUGCAAGUGCCCUGGUUAUAGCUGCUGUAUUUGACCGUGAUAUCAAUUGCCGAAGAGCUGCCUCGGCUGCCUUCCAGGAGAAUGUUGGUAGACAGGGUACUUUCCCACAUGGAAUCGAUAUUUUGACUGCAGCUGAUUAUUUUGCUGUUGGCAACAGAGCAAAUUGUUUUCUCAAUAUAAGUGUAUAUAUUGCUGGGUUUCCUGAGUAUACGCAGCCAAUCAUUGAUCACCUUGUUAGCAUGAAGAUCAACCACUGGGAUAGUGCAAUUCGGGAAUUUACAGCCAAAGCCCUUCAUAAUCUCACAGCACAAGCUCCUGAAUAUAUGAGAAAUAAGGUUUUACCAAAACUGCUGCCCCUGGCAGUUGGCACAGAUCUUCACACUCGCCAUGGAGCAAUUCUGGCCUGUGCUGAGAUCACCCAUGCUUUGUGUAAACUAGCCGAAGAGAAUAACAGAUCCAUUACAUCAUAUUUGGAUGAAAACAUCUUGAACGGACUGAAACAGAUUCAUGUGGAGCUUUGCCAUCGUCAGUUGUAUAGAGGAUUAGGUGGAGAACUAAUGAGACCAGCUGUCUGCACUUUGAUUGAAAAGUUAUCACUUUCAAAAAUGCCAUUUAGAGAAGAUUCCGUAAUUGAUGGCUGGCAGUGGCUGAUAAAUGACAGUUUACGAAGUCUCCAUCUUGUUUCAAGCAAUGCAAGACAAGAAAUAAAAGAGUCGGCAGUCUCUGCAUUGGCUGCUCUGUGUAAUGAAUAUUACUGCACAGAAGAAGGAGGUGCAAAUCCAGCUCAGCAAGAUGAGCUGGUGAAACAAUACAUUUCAGGCCUUCAAAGCCAUGAGGAAAUGACUCGAUGUGGCUUUUCACUAGCCUUGGGCGCCCUUCCUAAAUGUCUUUUAAAAGGCAAGCUCCAGGAGGUUUUAGAAGGUCUGAAGAGAGUCACUUUGAUUUCUCCUGAAGGCAUGGGCUUUGCUGAAUCCAGAAGAGAUGCCCUAAAAGCCAUUGCAAAAGUUUGUUUGACAGUAGGAGUGAAAGAAGAAGGACCACCUACUGAAUUUGUGUGCAGAGAUAAUGUUGCCCAGAUAUAUAGUGUAUUGCUGGAUGGCCUGAAUGAUUAUACAACAGAUAGUCGGGGUGAUGUUGGGGCAUGGGUGAGAGAAGCUGCAAUGACGAGCUUAAUGGAAUUGACUCUGUUACUAACACGGACUGAGCCUGAGUUAAUCGAUGCAAAUGUCUCUCAGAGGAUCAUGUGCUGUGUCGCUCAACAAUCAGCUGAAAAAAUCGACCGAUUUCGAGCCCAUGCAGGAUCUGUGUUCCUUACGCUUCUAUAUUUUGACAACCCUCCUGUCCCGCACAUACCCCACCGAGAAGACUUAGAGAGGAUAUUUCCAAGGUCGGAGGCCGUAACUUUCAACUGGAAUGCACCCUCACAAGCCUUUCCCAGAAUCACACAGCUUUUGGGUUUAGCAUCAUAUUGCUAUCAUGUUCUAACAGGUCUGACUGUGUCUGUUGGUGGAUUGACAGAAUCAACAGUGCGAUACUCAUCACAGAGCCUGUUUGACUAUUUGAAGACUGUUCAGAAUGACAUGGAUGCAAUGAGCAGCUUUAGUGAGACACUGCUGCAGGUCUUUGAGGACAACUUGUUGAACGACAGGGUAUCUGUACCACUACUAAAGAUGCUGGACCAGCUACUAGCAAAUGGAUGCUUUGAUAUCUUUACAACUGAAGAGAACCACCCAUUUCCUUUGAAGUUACUCACACUGUGUAAAGAAGAAAGCAAGAGAUCUAAAGAUGUUCAGAAACUCCGCUCCAGCAUUGCAGUGUUUUGUGGCCUGAUUCAAUUUCCAGGUGACAUGAGAAAGAAAGUUCUAUUUCAGCUCUUCCUCCUCCUUUGCCAUCCAUUUCCUGUUGUAAGGAAGACAACAGCCAGUCAAGUGUAUGAGAUGCUGAUAACUUAUAGUGAUAUUGCUGAACCAGAUGUUAUAGAGGAGGCCAUGACACUCCUGAGUGAUACUAAUUGAGGGACACUCAGAUAACAUGAUGCUGAAGUCUAUCCCUAGUAUUCAUGGCAAGAGCACCGCUGUCCUUGAGGACCUGCAGUGAAGUUAGAGCAGACACUCCUUCCCCUUGAAGAACUGUGGCUCCAUCAGCCAUGGGGAUGCAGACUUGCCAUUUCUAAGGAAACAACGUAACUAUCUCUGUGACUUAAUGAAAGUGCCGAAACCACAACUUGUUACCAAGAACACAUAACUGGAAACACAUUAACACUAGAAAGAAAAAUUCUUGGGACCUGGAAAGAAGCAGCAGCUUUUGGCUCCACUACCUGAGCAACUACAGUGUAUGAACAAGUUAAAAAGGAAAUCUAACAGAGUACAUAACUGCUUGAAAGCUCAGUAUGUAUUAGGAGUUCUGUUUCAGUCAAACUUUGUUUUUGUUAAGUUUACUAGUGCUCCCUCCUUACUCUGUAACCACAAGGUGGCAGUUUGGCCACAUGAUUUUCUCUUGUCUUUCAAAUUUAGUAUGAAUGCCGAUGUUUUGUGUUUCUUUCUCAAAAUUAAAUUAAAGUAUCUACUGCCAAGAUCAAACUAUCAA